GACGAACGCUGGCGGCGUGCCUAAUACAUGCAAGUAGAACGCAGUUGCGAACGGGUGAGUAACGCGUAGGUAACUGCCUCAUAGCGGGGGAUAACUAUUGGAAACGAUAGCUAAUACCGCAUACUGUGAGACGGACCUGCGUUGUAUUAGGUAGGUGGUGAGGUAAAGGGUCACCAAGGCGACGAUACAUAACCGACCUGAGAAGGUGAUCGGCCAAACUUGGACCUAGAAACGGCCCAGACUCCUACGGGGGGCAGCAGUAGGGAAUCUUCGGCAAUGGACGGAAGUCUGACCGAGCAACGCCGCGGUAGUGAAGAAGGGUUUCGGAUCGUAAAGCUCCUUUGUUAGAGAAGCGUUAACUACCCAGAAAGGGACGGCUAACUACGUGCCAGCAGCCGCGGUAAUUC
rnacentral:rRNA from 1 species